rnacentral:rRNA from 1 species
UUGGCAUCGGCUGCAGCCUGGAGCUAGCGUGACGCGUGAGUGAGAAGGUCUUCGGGUUGUAAAGCUCUUUUUCCAGGGAUGAUAAUGACUGUACCGGGAGAAUAAGCCCCGGCUAACUCCGUGCCAGCAGCCGCGGUAAUAAGCCGGGGGCUAAGGUAAUAUAAUAUCCCCCAGCCCGUUCG